UCUGGUUACUAUAGCAAGGAGGAUACACCUGUUCCCAUACCGAACACAGAAGUUAAGCUCCUUAGCGCCGAAGGUACUCGGACCGGAAGGUCCCGGGAGAAUAGGCCGUAGCCAGGU
rnacentral:rRNA from 2 species